UACGAAGGGGGCUAGCGUUGCUCGGAAUCACUGGGCGUAAAGCGCACGUAGGCGGCUUUUUAAGUCAGGGGUGAAAUCCUGGAGCUCAACUCCAGAACUGCCUUUGAUACUGGGAAGCUUGAGUCCGGGAGAGGUGAGUGGAACUCCGAGUGUAGAGGUGAAAUUCGUAGAUAUUCGGAAGAACACCAGCGGCGAAGGCGGCUCACUGGCCCGGUACUGACGCUGAGGUGCGAAAGCGUGGGGAGCAAACAGG
rnacentral:rRNA from 1 species